rnacentral:rRNA from 1 species
UACGAAGGGGGCUAGCGUUGUUCGGAAUCACUGGGCGUAAAGCGCACGUAGGCGGAUUUGUUAGUCAGGGGUGAAAUCCCGGGGCUCAACCUCGGAACUGCCUUUGAUACUGCAGAUCUCGAGUCCGGAAGAGGUGAGUGGAACUCCUAGUGUAGAGGUGAAAUUCGUAGAUAUUAGGAAGAACACCCGUGGCGAGGGCGGCUCACUGGUCCGGUACUGACGCUCAGGUGCCCAAGCGUGCGGAGGAAGCACC